GCUGUCUGAUCACAGAGGAAGGCUGUACUUCUCUGGCCUCAGCUCUGAGCUCCAACCCCUCCCAUCUGAGAGAGCUGGACCUGAGCUACAAUCAUCCAGGAGACUCAGGAAUGAAGCUGCUGUCGGCCGCACUGAAGGAUCCACGCUGGAGACUGGACACUCUCAGGGCGGAGCCUGCUGGAGUGCGAUGGCUGAUCCCAGGUCUGAGGAAGUAUUCCUGUCAACUCA